UGCCCCUGCCUUCCUCUGGCCUCAGCUGGAGCAGGCCUUUUCGCCUGCACGCUGAAAGUGCCAAAAAAAGCGUGGGAGGAAGGGGAGAUGUCAGGAUGAGCAGAAUGGAAAUAACGACUACAGACUGACUCAAGGAAUCUUGGGAUGUGAUGUGACAGAAUGGCCUUCGCCACCAAUGCAGCAAGCGUGAUGUGCAAAGAUGAAUGGAUUUGCAGCUGUAGGUAGUGUUGCGGUUUUAACAUUAUUACUCUCACCACUGGGAAAACAUCUGUGGGAAAUAAGAAGAGAGGAUAGUUAUCUUAAUAAAACUGAGAAGAGAUCUUGAAAGAAAUGCUGCUGUAUCCAUCUUUGGAGGGCUUUGUGAAGAGAACCAUCAUGUUUCAAUCAUUUUGACCAUAUAUACCAAUAAAAAUCUGAAAUAUCUCUUA